UACGUAGGGUGCAAGCGUUAAUCGGAAUUACUGGGCGUAAAGCGUGCGCAGGCGGUUGUGUAAGUCAGAUGUGAAAUCCCCGGGCUCAACCUGGGAACUGCAUUUGUGACUGCACGGCUGGAGUGCGGCAGAGGGGGAUGGAAUUCCGCGUGUAGCAGUGAAAUGCGUAGAUAUGCGGAGGAACACCGAUGGCGAAGGCAAUCCCCUGGGCCUGCACUGACGCUCAUGCACGAAAGCGUGGGGAGCAAACAGG
rnacentral:rRNA from 1 species